GGGCUUAACCCUGAGCCUGCUUCCGAUACGGGCAGACUAGAGGUAUGCAGGGGAGAAUGGAAUUCCUGGUGUAGCGGUGAAAUGCGCAGAUAUCAGGAGGAACACCGAUGGCGAAGGCAGGUCUCUGGGCUGUUACUGACGCUGAGGAGCGAAAGCAUGGGUAGCGAACAGGAUUAGAUACCCUGGUAGUCCACGCCGUAAACGAUGAGUGCUAGUUGUCGGCAUGCAUGCAUGUCGGUGACGCAGCUAACGCAUUAAGCACUCCGCCUGGGGAGUACGACCGCAAGGUUGAAACUCAAAGGAAUUGACGGGGGCCCGCACAAGCGGUGGAG
rnacentral:rRNA from 1 species